AAUGAACGCUGGCGGCAGGCCUAAAACAUGCAAGUCGAACGGUAACAGGUCUUCGGAUGCUGACGAGUGGCGCACGGGUGAGUAACACGUGGGAAUAUGCCUUUUGGUACGGAACAACAGUUGGAAACGACUGCUAAUACCGUAUGGUCCCUUCGGGGUAAAGAUUUAUCGCCAAAAGAUUAGCCCGCGUUGGAUUAGCUAGUUGGUAGGGUAAUGGCCUACCAAGGCUACGAUCUAUAGCUGGUCUGAGAGGAUGAUCAGCCACACUGGAACUGAGACACGGUCCAGACUCCUACGGGAGGCAGCAGUUAGGAAUAUUGGACAAUGGGCGCAAGCCUGAUCCAGCCAUGCCGCGUGAGUGAUGAAGGCCUUCGGGUUGUAAAGCUCUUUAGCCGACGAAUAUAAUGACUGUAGUCGGAAAAUAAGCCCCGGCUAACUUCGUGCCAGCCGCCGCCGUAA
rnacentral:rRNA from 1 species